GACCGGCUGCGCCGGCUCGGGGCGCGGCGGAUCGUGGUCGCUCCGUACUUUCUGUUCGCCGGGGUGCUCCCGGAUCGGAUCCGGGCCCAGUCGC
rnacentral:tRNA from 1 species